GGCCUCCCAAAGUGCUGGGGUUCCAGGCGUGAGCCACCGUGCCUGGCCUUAUUUUCUUUCUAAUUUUAUUUCAAGUAUUGCAUUAUUCUAAACCCCACAUUGACGAAUAUCAUCCACCUGCUCAGCAGCUAUAAAUGGUGGAGUUAGAAAUGAAGUUCUUUAUCUCACUCAAAGGAAUUAGCCCAGAGAAGCCCUUUUCCCUUAUAAUUUUCCGGUCUACUGUGAAGGUUUUCGACAACCUUUCGGCUUAUCCAGUGGAUCUCAAGCACAGGUACACAGUGGUAUCAAGAAUGGACAUUGAUCUACUUGUCACUCAGCUUAAAAAAUGAAACAUCAACAAUGCAGUUGAAGCCCCCUGUGCACCCUUCUCCAGUUGUAUCCUUCUCCUGCCUCCCUGCUGCUGUCAUUUCCAGAUGAGGAAAUAGAUGUUAGAAUGGAGACCUGCCCAAUGUCAAACAACUAAGAAGCAGAACUGGAACGGGAACCUGACUUUCUCAGCAGCAACUUCAAUGCCUUCUUAUAGGUUCAUUAUUGUUGUUAUACUUUUAUUAUGCUUCUAUUGUGCUGUGUAAUUUGUUUUUAAAAAUUCAAAUUAGUUAACCUCUUGUAGACAUUCAUUGAAAUACAUUUGUUUAGCACCUGUGUAAACUGCUCACCAUUUAGUUGGGAGAAAGGUAAAUAAACAAAGUUACAAAGACAAAACAUACUUUGCAAUUUGGAGACUUAAUAAAUGU